GACGAACGCUGGCGGCGUGCUUAACACAUGCAAGUCGAACGGAAAGGCCCUGCUUUUGUGGGGUGCUCGAGUGGCGAACGGGUGAGUAACACGUGAGUAACCUGCCCUUGACUUUGGGAUAACUUCAGGAAACUGGGGCUAAUACCGGAUAGGAGCUCCUGCUGCAUGGUGGGGGUUGGAAAGUUUCGGCGGUUGGGGAUGGACUCGCGGCUUAUCAGCUUGUUGGUGGGGGAGUGGCUUACCAAGGCUUUGACGGGUAGCCGGCCUGAGAGGGUGACCGGCCACAUUGGGACUGAGAUACGGCCCAGACUCCUACGGGAGGCAGCAGUGGGGAAUCUUGCACAAUGGGCGGAAGCCUGAUGCAGCAACGCCGCGUGCGGGAUGACGGCCUUCGGGUUGUAAACCGCUUUCGCCUGUGACGAAGCGUGAGUGACGGUAAUGGGUAAAGAAGCACCGGCUAACUACGUG
rnacentral:rRNA from 1 species